UGCUGUCUAGUUCAUCCCCACUGUCC
rnacentral:piRNA from 1 species